rnacentral:rRNA from 1 species
AUUGAACGCUGGCUGCAGGCCUAACACGUGCAAGUCGAACGAGUGGCGGACGGGUGAGUAAUGUCUGGGAAACUGCCUGCUGAAGGGGGAUGACUACUGGAAACUUUAGCUAAUACCGCAUACCAUCGGAUGUGCCCAGAUGGGAUUAGCUAGUAGGUGGGGUAAAGGCUCACCUAGGCGACGAUCCCUAUCUGGUCUGAGAGGAUGACACGCAACACGGGAACUGAGACACGGUCCAAAACCAUACGGGAGGCAGCAGUGGGGAAUAUUGCACAAUUGGCGCAAGCCUGAUGCAGCCAUGCCGCGUGUAUGAAGAAGGCCUUCGGGUUGUAAAGUACUUUCAGCGGGGAGGCGUUACCCGCAGAAGAAGCACCGGCACACUACGUGCCAGCAGCCGCGGUAAUUC